UACGUAGGGUGCAAGCGUUGUCCGGAAUUAUUGGGCGUAAAGAGCUCGUAGGCGGUCUGUCGCGUCGGAUGUGAAAACUCGGGGCUCAACCCCGGGCCUGCAUUCGAUACGGGCAGACUAGAGUUCGGCAGGGGAGACUGGAAUUCCUGGUGUAGCGGUGAAAUGCGCAGAUAUCAGGAGGAACACCGGUGGCGAAGGCGGGUCUCUGGGCCGAAACUGACGCUGAGGAGCGAAAGCGUGGGGAGCAAACAGG
rnacentral:rRNA from 1 species